UUUUCCUUCUCCUGAUUUACUCUCCACAUGGCUGCAAUGGCUGGAGCUGGGCUGAUCUGAAGCUAGAAGCCAGGAGCUUCCUCAGGGACCCAGUUGCAGUCUUCAAUCAAAAGGUUUUCCAUUAAAAUUGAACUCCUGCUUGCUAUUUCCUAUGUGUAAAAGAAAGAACUUGAGAGAAGAAAGCAGUCUGCAAACCACGAGAUGAAAGCCAGGAGAGACUGGCGAUGCUUGCAAUGCUUCCACAGUGAAUGCUCAAGUAGCUUGCUGCAUAUUUCAAGUGCUCUAUGGCUACCUAGGCCUAAUGGCUGCUUUAAUGGGUAGUCCAUGUUGUUCUAUGGAAAAUCAUCCUACUGUGAGCUUCUCCCUUGCUCGUUCUUGGGAAUAGUGGAGUAACUGAUAUGUGGUAUGAUGUACAGAAAUUCCCCAUCUAAAAUACUUUUCUUUUGUCCCUUCUUUUUUUUUUUGCUCCAA